UGAAGUUUAUAUUAUCUGUGGAAUUUCUCUACAACUUAUGUUUCAAAUUCAAUCUUUCAAUGAGAAUGGAGAAUGGAGAACUAAACACGACCUUACUGACUUACACUGACUUAGGUAACUCGCUGCAUUGCAUUUGCAGUGUUGUUUUUCAAAAUUUUGUAUGUGCCGAUUUUUCUUAACAUUUAUAGUAUCUAAGUGUUGUGCUCACUACAAUGGAAAUUUAUACACAAGGUCAGAGUUCAUGGUGGCAUCGAUGAUGUAAAUAUGAGUGAAUCGACAAUAUAUAAGGCCAAAGAAGCGGAAAAUUAGAUCUGGCAGUUCGUCAAGCUGGCGGCCCUCCAGGAUGCGGCUCGCGCGCCUCCGCUAGCCCCGCGCGCUGUGCGCCACGUCGCCACGAUCACAG